GGGGUGUGGCACAGAGGUGGAGUAUUUGCCUAGGAACCAGGAGGCCCUGGGUUCGAUCCCCAGUACCACCA
rnacentral:tRNA from 1 species